CUGAAUAGAUUUAGCGGGUUCUGAUAAAUGUCACGUUUAUUUUGGUGCCAAUAGAGUCACUGCAUCUUAAUUAAGACCCCACCCCCACCCUGCCCCAGAUGUUGGUACUGAUGGGAACGCCACACGCCACAGACUCCACUGACACCCGGAAAAUGAGGUUCCUGUAACCAGUGCUGGAGAGUGGUGCUGGGCUUGGCCCUGUCCACAAGGACACUUUCUAGGGGGCCUUGUUCCAGCAAAGUCUUUCUGAUGCCUCUUUUCCAGUUUCAGUUUCCUCAUCUUAAGGGAGGAAAAAAAAAAACCCAGCCCUUUCCACCUUAGGACACUUCCCUGCUGUGGGCUGAGAGCCACAGGGACAUUCUAAGCCUGUUUGCUGAUUCUAAUUGAUUCCAAGCCGCAGGCCCGCAGGCUCAGGGGGAUUGGCAUGGGAGAGAGAGGUUGGUUGGGAGCGAAGGGCUGGUACGUGGGCGGAGCUGAACUGGGGUGGCUGAGCCAGCAACUUCUAGCCUGCCAGAGAGUGAAAGCACACAGAUUCCUGCCCCUUGUCCAGAAAGCUCCACCUUGGAUAGGAACCCAGGGCCUGGAGGGAGGAGGAUGCUGGAAGGGGCGGGGCCAGAAACGUAGGCCAUCUUUUCAUUUGACUCCCAGUAACUGGAGUACAAAAGACACAGACAGACCUGACUCCUGCCACCAACCCCCUACCCGACCCCUCCCUCACCCCCACCCCAUGCAGCCAGUUUCAAAUGCCUCUGGGCAGGAAAACACGUGGCUUGAUGGAUAGGAGUGAGGUGCCAGCCCCUCGUGCAUCCCUCCCACUCACAGGAGACUAAAACCUCUCUCUGCGUUUUGCUGAGCCUAGGUGUUCUCCAAGGGUCCCUUCCACAGAUGUUGUUCUCGACGCUUUUCUUUGGGUCACAGUUAUGAACCAAAGCCUGCAACUGUAUAAUCGGAGUAAAGAGAUGGUUGUGGGAAGGAGGAAGUUUCAGAGAGACACUUGGGAGAAAGUUCAUCAUACGCUUGUGGUAGAAGAAGGGCUACACGGGCCGAGAUUUCCAUCACAAGAGAAAACUGACCUGGAAGAAGCCGUGGUGGACUAGAGGGAGCAUAGAAGAACAAUGCGAAAACCAACUUUACAGAGGCAUGAACCAAACACCCCACCAUGCACAACUGGUGUGCCCUACCGUUAUCUGCCAAUCAACUGAUGUGCCCAAUCAUUAUCUGCCAAUCAGAGUGUUUAUUAGUGUGUGUG
rnacentral:sRNA from 1 species